GGGAGAUAAUGGAGGGUCACGCGUGCAGUUAGACGGGUAAAUUUGUUCUGAUUCCGGGGUCCGACUCUCUGAGCAGUGAAGAGACUCUUUGUUAAGCAGUACACAUCCAUGAAAAGAGUUGGAAGCCACAUGGGCGAUUAAAACUGUUAUGGAUGUUCUUUAUCUACGAUGCAUCCUGUCCUUUUAUAUGUAUCAAGGUGUUUGUAAUCAUUUUUCC
rnacentral:misc_RNA from 1 species